AGGCAUAAUUCGUUUUCUGCUGAAUGUAUAGGAUUUCAUGUCUGCAGAUAAUGUAUUACAAGAGGCUGUUGUGUGCCAGUGGACAAGCUGGUGAGAAGCUGAACACUAAUAGCUUGAAUCCUGGUGAAUGGACUGCCUGCAUAAGCGUCGUCAUGAUUUUUCCACGUGUAAUAUGAAUGCAAGCCAGUUUGCCUUAAAGCAUCCCUUCUUGGAAAAUAUCUUCUAAUGUUUCAUCACAAAAAUCAGUCAAAAACUGUUUCUCAUGAUUUGAAAAAUACGUAUAAAGGAAGUCAAAUUUAAUUGAUAAAUUGUGCAUGCUGAGAUUGUAUACUAUAUCAUAUACAUUUUUAAUAUAUUUUCUGUAUCUCUAAUGUUGAGAAUUUUGAUGUUUUAAUUUAACCCUGAAUAAAAUGUUAAGUACUAUAAGCAAAGUAAGCAGUAUUGUAUUUGAUGUCAGAACAAUAUUUUUUUUUAUUUUUUAUUUUAUACUUGUAUAUUUUUUUGCUUAUGAUUGGAAUUUUAGUACAAAUUAUUUUGGCAUGAUGUGGCCUGUUCUCAUUUAAAAUGCAUUUUGUAUUUUUUUUUUCUUCUGUUAUUUGCAUUAUAAUAGUUUGGCCAUAACAACUAUGGAUGCCAAAUCAACAUGUAUGGGAAUAACUGUAUUAAAUUUUGAGAAAACC